GGUUAAGCGACUAAGCGUACACGGUGGAUGCCCUGGCAGUCAGAGGCGAUGAAGGACGUGCUAAUCUGCGAUAAGCGUCGGUGAGGUGAUAUGAACCGUUAUAACCGGCGAUUUCCGAAUGGGGAAACCCAGUGUGUUUCGACACACUAUCAUUAACUGAAUCCAUAGGUUAAUGAGGCGAACCGGGGGAACUGAAACAUCUAAGUACCCCGAGGAAAAGAAAUCAACCGAGAUUCCCCCAGUAGCGGCGAGCGAACGGGGAGCAGCCCAGAGCCUGAAUCAGUGUGUGUGUUAGUGGAAGCGUCUGGAAAGGCGCGCGAUACAGGGUGACAGCCCCGUACACAAAAAUGCACAUACUGUGAGCUCGAUGAGUAGGGCGGGACACGUGGUAUCCUGUCUGAAUAUGGGGGGACCAUCCUCCAAGGCUAAAUACUCCUGACUGACCGAUAGUGAACCAGUACCGUGAGGGAAAGGCGAAAAGAACCCCGGCGAGGGGAGUGAAAAAGAACCUGAAACCGUGUACGUACAAGCAGUGGGAGCCUCUUAAUGGGGUGACUGCGUACCUUUUGUAUAAUGGGUCAGCGACUUAUAUUCUGUAGCAAGGUUAACCGAAUAGGGGAGCCGAAGGGAAACCGAGUCUUAACUGGGCGUUAAGUUGCAGGGUAUAGACCCGAAACCCGGUGAUCUAGCCAUGGGCAGGUUGAAGGUUGGGUAACACUAACUGGAGGACCGAACCGACUAAUGUUGAAAAAUUAGCGGAUGACUUGUGGCUGGGGGUGAAAGGCCAAUCAAACCGGGAGAUAGCUGGUUCUCCCCGAAAGCUAUUUAGGUAGCGCCUCGUGAAUUCAUCUCCGGGGGUAGAGCACUGUUUCGGCAAGGGGGUCAUCCCGACUUACCAACCCGAUGCAAACUGCGAAUACCGGAGAAUGUUAUCACGGGAGACACACGGCGGGUGCUAACGUCCGUCGUGAAGAGGGAAACAACCCAGACCGCCAGCUAAGGUCCCAAAGUCAUGGUUAAGUGGGAAACGAUGUGGGAAGGCCCAGACAGCCAGGAUGUUGGCUUAGAAGCAGCCAUCAUUUAAAGAAAGCGUAAUAGCUCACUGGUCGAGUCGGCCUGCGCGGAAGAUGUAACGGGGCUAAACCAUGCACCGAAGCUGCGGCAGCGACGCUUAUGCGUUGUUGGGUAGGGGAGCGUUCUGUAAGCCUGUGAAGGUGUACUGUGAGGUAUGCUGGAGGUAUCAGAAGUGCGAAUGCUGACAUAAGUAACGAUAAAGCGGGUGAAAAGCCCGCUCGCCGGAAGACCAAGGGUUCCUGUCCAACGUUAAUCGGGGCAGGGUGAGUCGACCCCUAAGGCGAGGCCGAAAGGCGUAGUCGAUGGGAAACAGGUUAAUAUUCCUGUACUUGGUGUUACUGCGAAGGGGGGACGGAGAAGGCUAUGUUGGCCGGGCGACGGUUGUCCCGGUUUAAGCGUGUAGGCUGAUUUUCCAGGCAAAUCCGGAAAACUAAGGCUGAGGCGUGAUGACGAGGCACUACGGUGCUGAAGCAACAAAUGCCCUGCUUCCAGGAAAAGCCUCUAAGCAUCAGGUAACAUCAAAUCGUACCCCAAACCGACACAGGUGGUCAGGUAGAGAAUACCAAGGCGCUUGAGAGAACUCGGGUGAAGGAACUAGGCAAAAUGGUGCCGUAACUUCGGGAGAAGGCACGCUGAUAUGUAGGUGAAGUCCCUCGCGGAUGGAGCUGAAAUCAGUCGAAGAUACCAGCUGGCUGCAACUGUUUAUUAAAAACACAGCACUGUGCAAACACGAAAGUGGACGUAUACGGUGUGACGCCUGCCCGGUGCCGGAAGGUUAAUUGAUGGGGUUAGCGGUAACGCGAAGCUCUUGAUCGAAGCCCCGGUAAACGGCGGCCGUAACUAUAACGGUCCUAAGGUAGCGAAAUUCCUUGUCGGGUAAGUUCCGACCUGCACGAAUGGCGUAAUGAUGGCCAGGCUGUCUCCACCCGAGACUCAGUGAAAUUGAACUCGCUGUGAAGAUGCAGUGUACCCGCGGCAAGACGGAAAGACCCCGUGAACCUUUACUAUAGCUUGACACUGAACAUUGAGCCUUGAUGUGUAGGAUAGGUGGGAGGCUUUGAAGUGUGGACGCCAGUCUGCAUGGAGCCGGCCUUGAAAUACCACCCUUUAAUGUUUGAUGUUCUAACGUUGGCCCCUGAUCGGGGUUGCGGACAGUGUCUGGUGGGUAGUUUGACUGGGGCGGUCUCCUCCUAAAGAGUAACGGAGGAGCACGAAGGUUGGCUAAUCCUGGUCGGACAUCAGGAGGUUAGUGCAAUGGCAUAAGCCAGCUUGACUGCGAGCGUGACGGCGCGAGCAGGUGCGAAAGCAGGUCAUAGUGAUCCGGUGGUUCUGAAUGGAAGGGCCAUCGCUCAACGGAUAAAAGGUACUCCGGGGAUAACAGGCUGAUACCGCCCAAGAGUUCAUAUCGACGGCGGUGUUUGGCACCUCGAUGUCGGCUCAUCACAUCCUGGGGCUGAAGUAGGUCCCAAGGGUAUGGCUGUUCGCCAUUUAAAGUGGUACGCGAGCUGGGUUUAGAACGUCGUGAGACAGUUCGGUCCCUAUCUGCCGUGGGCGCUGGAGAACUGAGGGGGGCUGCUCCUAGUACGAGAGGACCGGAGUGGACGCAUCACUGGUGUUCGGGUUGUCAUGCCAAUGGCACUGCCCGGUAGCUAAAUGCGGAAGAGAUAAGUGCUGAAAGCAUCUAAGCACGAAACUUGCCCCGAGAUGAGUUCUCCCUGACUCCUUGAGGGUCCUGAAGGAACGUUGAAGACGACGACGUUGAUAGGCCGGGUGUGUAAGCGCAGCGAUGCGUUGAGCUAACCGGUACUAAUGAACCGUGAGGCUUAACCUU
rnacentral:rRNA from 1 species